UCUGUAUGCCUUUUACUAUCAUUUGUUCCUCUGUGGAAACAUAUUUCCUCAGAGAUAUUAACCUCAAUUUGUUUUGUUUUUUUUGUCACAGGUUCUCCCGUUUGAAUAUCCUCUUCCAAAUGUUCCACAGCAACCUAUGAAUAUUCCAUCAUUUGAUGCCAAUCCUCUCCCAUCCCAGGAUCCCCUGCAACCUCUGCAGCAGGACCAGCCCACACAGAUGAGCCAGAUGCCAGCGAAGGUAUGAAGUGGAUGAAAGGCAGGAAAAGGAGGCGAGACUACAAAACAAAUGACCUUAAAUGAUCAGGACUGUUUCAUAUGUGCUUACUAAAAUUUAAAUAAAAUAACCACUUUUUAUUAAGAAUGCUGUUGCAAUAGUAAACUACAUUACAACAUGGUCAUGUGCAUAGAAGAAAACCAUCUACUUCACUUUAUAGUCAUCAUAGAUUAACAAUAACCUGUUGUAGACCUGUAAAACACUUCAGCAGCUGUCUUCUGUCAACUAUCAACUACAGUUAGUUUUCAGUGUUACUGUGGAAAUACAGCACUUUGUAAUGCUGCAUUUUCACUGUAUCUAAGAAUUGCUGUGUAUUGUUAUUAAUUAGUUAAAUAAAUUCUGACUUUUCUUUAAAUGUCAUUUUCUUUUAAGAAAUAAAGCCUACAUUUUCAAGCAA